rnacentral:rRNA from 1 species
UGAUCACUGGCUCCGAAAUAGAACUCGCUCCUUGGGAAGGCGAGAGGCGGACGGGUGAGGAAUACAUCGGAAUCUACUUUUUCGUGGGGGAUAACGUAGGGAAACUUACGCUAAUACCGCAUACGACCUACGGGUGAAAGCAGGGGACCUUCGGGCCUUGCGCGAUUGAAUGAGCCGAUGUCGGAUUAGCUAGUUGGCGGGGUAAAGGCCCACCAAGGCGACGAUCCGUAGCUGGUCUGAGAGGAUGAUCAGCCACACUGGAACUGAGACACGGUCCAGACUCCUACGGGAGGCAGCAGUGGGGAAUAUUGGACAAUGGGCGCAAGCCUGAUCCAGCCAUACCGCGUGGGUGAAGAAGGCCUUCGGGUUGUAAAGCCCUUUUGUUGGGAAAGAAAUCCAGCUGGCUAAUACCCGGUUGGGAUGACGGUACCCAAAGAAUAAGCACCGGCUAACUUCGUGCCAGCAGCCGCGGUAAUACGAAGGGUGCAAGCGUUACUCGGAAUUACUGGGCGUAAAGCGUGCGUAGGUGGUCGUUUAAGUCCGUUGUGAAAGCCCUGGGCUCAACCUGGGAACUGCAGUGGAUACUGGGCGACUAGAGUGUGGUAGAGGGUAGCGGAAUUCCUGGUGUAGCAGUGAAAUGCGUAGAGAUCAGGAGGAACAUCCAUGGCGAAGGCAGCUACCUGGACCAACACUGACACUGAGGCACGAAAGCGUGGGGAGCAAACAGAUUAGAUACCCUGGUAGUCCACGCCCUAAACGAUGCAAACUGGAUGUUGGGUGCAAUUUGGCACGCAGUAUCGAAGCUAACGCGUUAAGUUCGCCGCCUGGGGAGUACGUCGCUAGACUGAAACUCAAAGGAAUUGACGGGCGCCCGCACAAGCGGUGGAGUAUGUUGGUUUAAUUCGAUGCAACGCGAAGACCCUUACCUGGCCUUGAACAUGUCAAGACUUUCCAGAGAUGGAUUGCUGCCUUCA